CCAACGUGGCUACUGUGCCACCUGGUGGAUAGCUCGGCUCGGAUGCCGACGAAGGACGUGCCAAGCUGCGAUAAGCCUGAGGGAGCCGCACGGAGGCUAAGAACUCAGGAUCUCCUAAUGGGAAUCCCUAUAACAAUUGCCUUGCGCAAUGGGGAACGGCCGGAAUUGAAGCAUCUCAGUACGGCCAGGAAGAGAAAUCGAAUGAGACGCCGUUAGUAAUGGCGAAUGAACGCGGCACAGUCCAAACCGAAGCCUUCGGGCAAUGUGGUGUUCGGACUGACUUUCAUCGUUUGACCGUUCGUGUGAAGUCUCCUGAAACGGAGCGCGAUACAGGGUGACAGCCCCGUAUCACGGACCAGUACGACGUGCGUCAGCUCCAGAGUAGCGGGGGUUGGAAAUCCCUCGUGAAUGUGGCAGGCAUCGACUGCCAAGACUAAGUACUCUCCGAGACCGAUAGUGAACAAGUAGUGUGAACGAACGCUGAAAAGCACCCCACAAAGGGGGGUGAAAUAGGGCUUGAAAUCAGGUGGCGAUGGAGCGACGGGGCAUAAAAGGCCUCUCUGGGAACGACUUGAGUGCAAACUCAUGGUAGGACCUGAGAGGAGCCGAUGUUCCGUCGUACGUUUUGAAAAACGAGCCAGGGAGUGUGCCUGUUUGACGAGUCUAACCGGAGUAUCCGGGAAGGCGUAGGGAAACCAAUAUGGCCGCAGCAUUGCGAGGGCCACCGUGUUCAAGCGCGGGGAGUCAAACGGGCACGACCCGAAACCCGGUGAUCUACGCGUGGGCAAGGUGAAGCAUGGCGAAAGCCAUGUGGAGGCCUGUUAGGGUUGGUGUCUUUCAACACCCUCCCGUGACCUACGUGUAGGGGUGAAAGGCCCAUCGAACCGGGCAACAGCUGGUUCCAACCGAAACAUGUCGAAGCAUGACCUCUGCCGAGGUAGUUCGUGGGGUAGAGCGACCGAUUGGGGAGUUCAACUCCGAGAGGAGUUGUCUCCCCUGUCAAACUCCAAACCUACGGACGCCGUCGACGCAGGGAAUCCGGUGUGCGGGGUAAGCCUGUGCACCGUGAGGGAGACAACCCAGAGUUAGGUUAAGGUCCCAAAGUGCGAGCUAAGUGCGAUUGAAGGUGGUCUCGAGCCCUAGACAGCCGGGAGGUGAGCUUAGAAGCAGCUACCCUCUAAGAAAAGCGUAACAGCUUACCGGCCGAGGUUCGAGGCGCCCAAAAUGAUCGGGGCUCAAGUUCGCCACCGAGACCUAACGGCACGGGUAACACCGUGAUCCAGUAGGUUGGCAUUCUGUUCGGGUGGAAGCUCGGGUGAGAACUCGAGUGGACCGAGUGGAAAAGAAAAUCCUGGCCAUAGUAGCAGCGUUAGUCGGGUAAGAAUCCCGAUGGCCGAAAGAGCAAGGGUUCCUCGGCAAUGCUUAUCAGCCGAGGGUUAGCCGAUCCUAAGGCCCGUCGUAAUUCGAGCGGGUCAAAAGGGAAACUGGUUAAUAUUCCAGUGCCACCGUACAUUGAAAGUCGACGCCUCGGAGCAGCUUGAGCCGGGCAUUCGCCCGGUCGAACCGUCGAAGUUCGUGGAAGCCGUAAUGGCAGGAAGCGAACGAACGUCGGAACAGGGAAACUCAAGUCAAUCUGGGGCCCGUGAAAAGGCGAGUACGGUGUUCGUACCGAGAUCCGACACAGGUGCUCUGGCAGAGGAAGCCAAGGCCUGUCGGGAAUAACCGACGUUAGGGAAUUCGGCAAGUUAGUCCCGUAAGUUCGCGAUAAGGGAUGCCUGCCUCGCAAUGAGGCAGGUCGCAGUGACUCGGAGGCUCCGACUGUCUAAUAACAACAUAGGUGACCGCAAAUCCGCAAGGACGCGUACGGUCACUGAAUCCUGCCCAGUGCGGGUAUCUGAACACCCAGUACAAUGGGGCGAAGGACCCGUUAACGGCGGGGGUAACUAUGACCCUCUUAAGGUAGCGUAGUACCUUGCCGCUUCAGUAGCGGCUUGCAUGAAUGGAUCAACGAGAGCCUCACUGUCCCAACGUUGGGCCCGGUGAACUGUACGUUCCAGUGCGGAGUCUGGAGACCCCCAAGGGGAAGCGAAGACCCUAUAGAGCUUUACUGCAGGCUGUCGCUGGGACACGGUCGCUGAUGUGCAGAGUAGGUAGGAGACGUUACACAGGUACGUGCGCUAGCACGCCACCGAGUCACACAUGAAACACUACCCGUCAGUGACUGUGACCCUCACUCCGGGAGGAGGACACCGGUAGCCGGGCAGUUUGACUGGGGCGGUACGCGCUUGAAAAGAUAUCGAGCGCGCCCUAAGCCUAUCUCAGCCGAGUCAGAGACUCGGCGAAGAGUGCAAGAGCAUAAGAUAGGCUGACAGUGUCCUACACAACGAGGGACGCUGACGCGAAAGCGUGGUCUAGCGAACCAAUUAGGCUGCUUGAUGCGGCCAAUUGCUGACAGAAAAGCUACCUUAGGGAUAACAGAGUCGUCACUCGCAAGAGCACAUAUCGACCGAGUGGCUUGCUACCUCGAUGUCGGUUCCCUCCAUCCUGCCCGUGCAGAAGCGGGCAAGGGUGAGGUUGUUCGCCUAUUAAAGGAGGUCGUGAGCUGGGUUUAGACCGUCGUGAGACAGGUCGGCUGCUAUCUAUUGGGGGUGUUUUGGUGCUUGACAGGAACGUUCGUAUAGUACGAGAGGAACUACGAACGGGUGCCACUGGUGUAUCGGUUGUCCGAGAGGGCAUGUGCCGAGCAGCUACGCACCACGGGGUAAGAGCUGAAUGCAUCUAAGCUCGAAACCCACCUGGAAAAGAAGCACCACUGAGACCGCUCGUAGAAGACGAGUUCGAUAGACUUGGGGUGUACGCGUCGAGGCAACGAGACGUUUAGCCCGCGAGUACUAACAGGUCAAUGCCACACACU
rfam:Halobacterium sp. NRC-1, complete genome.